UACGGAGGGUGCAAGCGUUAUCCGGAUUUACUGGGUUUAAAGGGUGUGUAGGCGGGCUGGUAAGUCAGGGGUGAAAUCCCGGAGCUCAACUCCGGAACUGCCUUUGAUACUACUGGUCUUGAAUAUUGUUGAGGUGGGCGGAAUGUGUCAUGUAGCGGUGAAAUGCAUAGAUAUGACACAGAACACCGAUUGCGAAGGCAGCUCACUGGGCAAUUAUUGACGCUGAGGCACGAAAGCGUGGGGAUCAAACAGG
rnacentral:rRNA from 1 species